UACGUAGGGGGCGAGCGUUACCCGGAUUUACUGGGCGUAAAGAGCGUGUAGGCGGCUGGCCAAGCGUGAUGUGAAAUCUUCGGGCUUAACCCGAAAACUGCAUUGCGAACUGGUCUGGCUAGAGUGUGUGAGAGGGUAGUGGAAUUCCCGGUGUAGCGGUGAAAUUCGUAGAUAUCGAGAGGAACACCGGUGGCGAAGGCGGCCAACUGGACGAAUACUGACGCUGAGACACGAAAGCGUGGGAGCAAACAGGAUAGAUACCCGAG
rnacentral:rRNA from 1 species